rnacentral:rRNA from 1 species
ACGCUAGCUACAGGCUUAACACAUGCAAGUCGAGGGGCAGCGGGUUGAAAGCUUGCUUUCAAUGCCGGCGACCGGCGCACGGGUGCGUAACGCGUAUCAAACCUGCCUCAUACUCGGGGAUAGCCUUGCGAAAGUAAGAUUAAUACCCGAUGUUAUUAGUUCAUCGCAUGGUGGAUUAAUCAAAGAUUUAUCGGUAUGAGAUGGUGAUGCGUCCGAUUAGGUAGUAGGCGGGGUAACGGCCCACCUAGCCUUCGAUCGGUAGGGGUUCUGAGAGGAAGGUCCCCCACACUGGAACUGAGACACGGUCCAGACUCCUACGGGAGGCAGCAGUGAGGAAUAUUGGUCAAUGGACGCAAGUCUGAACCAGCCAAGUAGCGUGCAGGAUGACAGCCCUCCGGGUUGUAAACUGCUUUUAGUUGGGAAUAAAAAAAGGGACGUGUCCCUUAUUGUAUGUACCUUCAGAAAAAGGACCGGCUAAUUCCGUGCCAGCAGCCGCGGUAAUACGGAAGGUCCAGGCGUUAUCCGGAUUUAUUGGGUUUAAAGGGAGCGUAGGCGGAUUGUUAAGUCAGCGGUUAAAGGGUGUGGCUCAACCAUACAUUGCCGUUGAAACUGGCGAUCUUGAGUGCAGACAGGGAUGCCGGAAUUCGUGGUGUAGCGGUGAAAUGCUUAGAUAUCACGAAGAACUCCGAUCGCGAAGGCAGGUGUCCGGGCUGCAACUGACGCUGAGGCUCGAAAGUGUGGGUAUCAAACAGGAUUAGAUACCCUGGUAGUCCACACAGUAAACGAUGUAUACUCGCGGUUUGCGAUAGACAGUAAGCCGCCAAGCGAAAGCAUUAAGUAUACCACCUGGGGAGUACGCCGGCAACGGUGAAACUCAAAGGAAUUGACGGGGGCCCGCACAAGCGGAGGAACAUGUGGU